rnacentral:siRNA from 1 species
UAAAGGAUCGAUAGGCCACGC